UUUCACUCUUCUGUGUUGCAUCUGUAUUUGUUUAUCAGUCUCUUUUUUUAUUUACUAUUGGAAUUAUUGCAGUGUUUCCAAGUGAGGGACACAGUGCCACCUCACCGGCUAAGGUGUAGUUGGCGUUUAGAUGUUUAUCUGACGUUUGGCCACAGAAUGACCGGGUUGAGAUUUCUGGCCUUUGACUUGGAUUGAGGGUUGGAUGGGAAGCCAACUCUCCUUGCAGGAGAGAAGAACUUCUGUUGGGUGCACCGCGUUUUAGAAUUUAGAGAAGGUCAUCGUUCAUCUCAGCCACACUUAUUUUUAACAGUGUCCUGGCAAACUAACAGUGUUAGGCCUUUUCCCCUGUAUGAAAUAUCAUCUUUAUUUGUCGGCUAUUUUCUCUUAUCUUCUCCUUGUGUUGUUUUUGCCAUGUCUUUUUCUCAUAGUGUUGAAGAUGUGCUAACCUCAGAAUAGUGUUUUUGCCAUCAUCAGUUUGUGCCAUGUGUUGAAGUGACUAGGUACACUGUUAAGAGGCUUCACCUUAAAGUUUCACUAAGUGCUUUUUACUUUCAGUUACGGGGGCGAGUGCAGAAUGGCAGCCAUUCUGUUGCACAGCUCUAGCCAGUUUCUGGUUCGCUAUCGGCAGAAUAAGAUUUGACACAAAGCAACUGGAUAGUUGUCUGAACCCUUCGAAACAAAAUGGCUGCCAGAUCAGUGACUCUGUUAAUAUUAUGAAAACUUGAGUUUAACUUUCUGCACUAUUGGACAGCACUUGUUAAGGAGGACUGUUAAUUAUUACACUGUUUUGAUACGUGUGACCUGCCUGUCCUGGUGUUCAUGUAGUGAUUUAUAAAGGAUUAUAACCUGUUCAUUUAGCAUUAACUGUUGUCAUCACCAUCAAAGGCCACCUGGACCACAACUGGGUCUGGGCAGGAUUUGGGACUCAUCUGGCCUUCAGUCCGCGCUGAUCUGGGCAAGCUCUCUAUUUGCGUAUUGUACAGACAUGCCUUACCCUCGCCCAUUUUGAAAUAUGACUUUUUUUUAAUGUGUCAUUAAAAUUGUAACAGGAGAACAAAAAAUCGAACCCACGUUGAAACGAUAAACAGCGGGCUCUUUUGAAUAUCUUUGUAUGAAUUAUGACUUAAAUGGACUUCAGACAUCUCUUAUAGACGGCAUGUUUUCAGCAGUUUUGUGAUAUUUAUAACUUUGUGGCAUUCUUUAACUAAUGAAGUGCAAAUAAAGAUGAAAUAUAU
ensembl:lncRNA